ACCAGAGGGGCAAAAGUUCGUGAGCAGGAUGGCAGCAUGAUCUGCGUGUCGGGGCUAGGCCAGCCAAAAGCACAGAAGCCAUGCGCGCUGGUCGGUGGCCCUGAAAAGAGGGAGAAGAUGAGUGAGAAAAGGAGGGAGCUCUUCAGUGGGAAUCCAGGAGAGAGAGCUUGAGGGAGUUCGAGCGAGAGCAACCGAGAGAGCGAGAGGGCUGAAAUUUAGCCCCGGGUGGGCGUCGUCCAGCCGUCCCUCGCGAUUCCCCCCUUCUUCCAUGUCCUCCGACGUUGGUUUUGGCCGAGAGGACCAACAAGAGCGUGAGUCCAAGGGAGAGAGAGACAGAGAGCAAACUGAGAGAGCUGGAGCUUGAGGGAGUGAUCCACCAUCGUCGGUGGCCCGUCCAUCGGCCACCAUCCGUCGCUGCAUCCCCAUCGAACCAAACCAGGGAAUUGUUAACAAUGAGAGUCACGGCUACUUCAUCGGGAGAGCAUAUUUAUUUUUAACUUCCCUUAAGAAGCAUCACUUGCGGAAGAGGCAGCACCUUGCGAACGAGGCAGCGCCUUGCGAAUGAAUUGGCAUCCAAUGCAGCAACUUAUUGGGUUCCUGAAAUUGAGUGUUCCUAUGGCUGGUUUGAAUGUGCAGAUAUUUCAGAAUGGAGAAAAUUGUAGUCACUUCGAUCCCUGAUGAAGAAUCUGCUGAACCCAGAGAUGUGGCGUUAAUUUUUCAAACUAAUUAAUUUUGCUAGUUGUUCUUGGAGUACAAGGAGCAAUAUUCUACCCUUUAUUUGUGAAUGCUUGAGUUAUCAUGAUUAACUAAUUGAAGUAUCAAUGCAAAAACUGGUAAUUUUGCCAAACGAGGAGAAAAUAGGUUUUGCCUUUAAGGAAAAUGAGAAGAAAAUGGCUAUUGAAUCACUUUUGGUAUAUGUUGGAGGUCCCUUGGCUUUUGCUCUUUUGCUAUGUAUGUUCGGAAUCUGUUCCUUUACUUGAUGCUUCCAUUUGUCCUU